GAUGAGGAGAGGUUGAAGUUGGAGAAGGAGGCUGAAACCUUGGCUGCACAAGAUGAUGGAGGUGGGGAGCAACUUGAUCGUAUCUAUGAACGUUUAGAAGCUUUGGACGCAGCAACUGCAGAAAAACGUGCUGCUGAAAUCCUUUAUGGUCUUGGGUUUAACAAGCAGAUGCAAGCGAAGAAAACAAGAGACUUUUCUGGUGGUUGGAGGAUGAGGAUUGCCUUAGCUCGUGCCCUGUUCAUGAAUCCCACUGUCCUCCUACUGGAUGAACCAACUAAUCAUCUAGAUCUAGAGGCUUGUGUCUGGCUAGAAGAAAAUUUGAAGAAGUUUGACAGGAUCCUGGUUGUGGUUUCGCAUUCCCAGGACUUUCUUAACGGUGUCUGCACAAACAUUAUCCACAUGCAGAACAGGAAAUUAAAGAUCUACACAGGUAACUAUGAUCAGUAUGUUCAGACCCGUUCUGAACUGGAAGAGAAUCAGAUGAAAAUGUACAAGUGGGAGCAGGAUCAGAUUGCAUCCAUGAAAGAGUAUAUUGCUCGAUUUGGG
rnacentral:misc_RNA from 1 species